rnacentral:rRNA from 1 species
UACGAAGGGGGCUAGCGUUGCUCGGAAUGACUGGGCGUAAAGGGCGCGUAGGCGGUUCAUACAGUCAGAUGUGAAAUUCCCGGGCUUAACCUGGGGGCUGCAUUUGAUACGUGUGGGCUUGAGUGAGGAAGAGGGUUGUGGAAUUCCCAGUGUAGAGGUGAAAUUCGUAGAUAUUGGGAAGAACACCGGUGGCGAAGGCGGCAACCUGGUCCUUGACUGACGCUGAGGCGCGAAAGCGUGGGGAGGCAAACAGGA